UUUUUAAAAAAGAAAAUAGACCACUAGCCAGACUAAUAAAAAAGAAAAGAGAGAAGAAUCGAAUAGCUGUAACAAAAAAUGAUAGAGGGGAUAUUACCACCAAUUCCACAGAAAUACAAACUACUAUCAGAGAUUACUACAAACAACUAUAUGCACAUAAACCA